UACAGAGGUGCCAAGCGUUAGGCGGAAUCACUGGGCGUAAAGCGCACGUAGGCGGACUCUUAAGUCGGUGGUGAAAUCCUGGAGCUCAACUCCAGAACUGCCUUCGAUACUGAGAGUCUUGAGUCCGGGAGAGGUGAGUGGAACUGCGAGUGUAGAGGUGAAAUUCGUAGAUAUUCGCAAGAACACCAGUGGCGAAGGCGGCUCACUGGCCCGGUACUGACGCUGAGGUGCGAAAGCGUGGGGAGCAAACAGG
rnacentral:rRNA from 1 species